UUAGGAAUCUUCCACAAUGGGCGAAAGCCUGGUGGAGCGACGCCGCGUGAGGGAUGAAGGCCUUAGGGUUGUAAACCUCUAAAAGAGGGACGAUAAUGACGGUACCUCUUGAAUAGCACCGGCUAACUCCGUGCCAGCAGCCGCGGUAAUACGGAGGGUGCAAGCGUUAUCCGGAAUCACUGGGCGUAAAGGGCGCGUAGGCGGUCUGUUAAGUCCGAUGUUAAAUCCCGGGGCUCAACCCCGGAUAAGCGUUGGAUACUGGCAGGGUAGACGGUUGGAGAGGCGAGUGGAAUUACCAAUGUAGCGGUGGAAUGAGUAGAUACUGGUAGGAACACCCAUUGCGAAGGCAGCUCGCUGGACAACACGUGACGCUGAGGCGCGAAAGUGUGGGGAGCAAACC
rnacentral:rRNA from 1 species